CCUACGGGUGGCAGCAGGGAGGAAUAUUGGGCAAUGGGCGCGAGCCUGAACCAGCCAAGUAGCGUGAAGGAUGACGGCCCUACGGGUUGUAAACUUCUUUUAUAAAGGAAUAAAGUGAGGCACGUGUGCCUUUUUGCAUGUACCUUAUGAAUAAGCAUCGGCUAACUCCGUGCCAGCAGCCGCGGUAAUACGGAGGAUCCGAGCGUUAUCCGGAUUUAUUGGGUUUAAAGGGAGCGUAGGUGGGUUGUUAAGUCAGUUGUGAAAGUUUGCGGCUCAACCGUAAAAUUGCCUUUGAUACUGGGAGCCUUGAGUGCAGUUGAGGUAGGCGGAAUUCGUGGUGUAGCGGUGAAAUGCUUAGAUAUCACGAAGAACUCCGAUUGCGAAGGCAGCUUACUAAACUGCAACUGACAUUGAUGCACGAAAGUGUGGGUAUCAAACAGGAUUAGAUACCCUUGUAGUC
rnacentral:rRNA from 1 species